AUCGAUUAGCCAUGCUAGUUGUGCGAGGUUUAGACUCCGCGGCGGAUAGCUCAUAACACGUGGCCAAACUACCCUGUGGAUGGGAAUAAUCUCGGGAAACUGAGGCUAAUUCCCAAUAAUGCUCCACCCCUGGAAUGGGUGGAGCUGGAAACGCUACGGCGCCACAGGAUGUGGCUGCGGUCGAUUAGGUAGACGGUGGGGUAACGGCCCACCGUGCCAAUAAUCGGUACGGGUUGUGAGAGCAAGAGCCCGGAGACGGAAUCUGAGACAAGAUUCCGGGCCCUACGGGGCGCAGCAGGCGCGAAACCUUUACACUGUACGCAAGUGCGAUAAGGGGACUCCGAGUGUGAAGGCAUAGAGCCUUCACUUUUGUACACCGUAAGGUGGUGCACGAAUAAGGGCUGGGCAAGACCGGUGCCAGCCGCCGCGGUAAUACCGGCAGCCCGAGUGAUGGCCGAUAUUAUUGGGCCUAAAGCGUCCGUAGCUGGCCGGACAAGUCCGUUGGGAAAUCUGUCCGCUUAACGGGCAGGCGUCCAGCGGAAACUGUUCGGCUUGGGACCGGAAGACCUGAGGGGUACGUCCGGGGUAGGAGUGAAAUCCUGUAAUCCUGGACGGACCACCGGUGGCGAAAGCGCCUCASGAGGACGGAUCCGACAGUGAGGGACGAAAGCUAGGGUCUCGAACCGGAUUAGAUACCCGGGUAGUCCUAGCUGUAAACGAUGCCGCUAGGUGUGGCGCAGGCUACGAGCCUGCGCUGUGCCGUAGGGAAGCCGAGAAGCGGGCCGCCUGGGAAGUACGUCUGCAAGGAUGAAACUUAAAGGAAUUGGCGGGGGAGCACUACAACCGGAGGAGCCUGCGGUUUAAUUGGACUCAACGCCGGACAUCUCACCAGCUCCGACAGUAGUAAUGACGGUCAGGUUGAUGACUUUACCCGAUGCUACUGAGAGGAGGUGCAUGGCCGCCGUCAGCUCGUACCGUGAGGCGUCCUGUUAAGUCAGGCAACGAGCGAGACCCGCACUCCUAAUUGCCAGCAGUACCCUUUGGGUAGCUGGGUACAUUAGGUGGACUGCCGCUGCCAAAGCGGAGGAAGGAACGGGCAACGGUAGGUCAGUAUGCCCCGAAUGAGCUGGGCAACACGCGGGCUACAAUGGUCGAGACAAUGGGAUGCAACUCCGAGAGGAGGCGCUAAUUUCCUAAACUCGAUUGUAGUUCGGAUUGAGGGCUGAAACUCGCCCUCAUGAAGCUGGAUUCGGUAGUAAUCGCGUGUCAGCAGCGCGCGGUGAAUACGUCCCUGCUCCUUGCACACACCGCCCGUCAAAGCACCCGAGUGGGGUUCGGAUGAGGCCGGCAUGCGCCGGUCGAAUCUG
rnacentral:rRNA from 1 species